rnacentral:ncRNA from 1 species
GUCGGUGUCGUGACCGUCCAGCCGACGCCGGUGCCCGUCGUCACCGAACUGCCGGGUCGUACGAGCGCGUACCUCGUCGCCCAGGUGCGCGCGCGCGUCGACGGCAUCGUGCUGCGGCGCGAGUUCGUCGAAGGUAGUGAAGUCAAAGCCGGUCAGCGGCUGUACAAGAUCGA